rnacentral:rRNA from 1 species
UAAGACAGAGGCCCCGAGCGUUAAUCGGAAUCACUGGGCUUAAAGGGUGCGUAGGCUGAUCCGAAAGUGCUUUGUGAAAUCCCAUGGCUCAACCAUGGAACAGCGGGGCAUACUGCGGAUCUCGAGGAAGGUAGGGGCCGCGAGAACAGUAGGUGGAGCGGUGAAAUGCGUAGAUAUCUACUGGAAUGCCGAUGGUGAAGACGCGCGGCUGGGCCUUUCCUGACGCUGAGGCACGAAAGCGUGGGGAGCAAACAGGAUUAGAUACCCUGGUAGUCCACGCCGUAAACGAUGUACGCUAGAUCGGUGCCGCUCUCACGCGGGAUCGGUCGUAGUAAAAACGAUAAGCGUACCGCCUGGGGAGUACGGUCGCAAGGCUA